GACGAACGCUAGCGGCGUGCUUAACACAUGCAAGUCGAACGAAGAGCGAUGGAAGCUUGCUUCUAUCAAUCUUAGUGGCGAACGGGUGAGUAACGCGUAAUCAACCUGCCCUUCAGAGGGGGACAACAGUUGGAAACGACUGCUAAUACCGCAUACGAUCUAAUCUCGGCAUCGAGGAUAGAUGAAAGGUGGCCUCUACAUGUAAGCUAUCACUGAAGGAGGGGAUUGCGUCUGAUUAGCUAGUUGGAGGGGUAACGGCCCACCAAGGCGAUGAUCAGUAGCCGGUCUGAGAGGAUGAACGGCCACAUUGGGACUGAGACACGGCCCAGACUCCUACGGGAGGCAGCAGUGGGGAAUCUUCCGCAAUGGACGAAAGUCUGACGGAGCAACGCCGCGUGAGUGAUGACGGCCUUCGGGUUGUAAAGCUCUGUUAAUCGGGACGAAAGGCCUUCUUGCGAAUAGUGAGAAGGAUGG
rnacentral:rRNA from 1 species